rnacentral:rRNA from 1 species
CCUACGGGAGGCUGUAGUAAGGAAUAUUGCUCAAUGGGAGAAAUCCUGAAGCAGCAACGCCGCGUGGAGGAUGAAGGGCUUUCAGCUUGUAAACUCCUGUAAAGAAGGAAAAAAUUCCCAUUAGAUGGGAAAUGAUGGUACUUCUAAAGUAAGCACCGGCUAACUACGUGCCAGCAGCAGCGGUAAUACGUAGGGGGCAAGGGUUGUCCGGAUUUACUGGGCGUAAAGGGUGCUCAGGCGGAUUUGUAAGUCAGAGGUGAAAUCUCACAGCUUAACUGUGAAACUGCCUUUGAUACUGUAAGUCUAGAGUAUGGAAGAGAGUGAGGGAAUGUCUGGUGUAGCAGUGAAAUGCGUAGAUAUCAGAUAGAACACCAAUGGCGAAGGCAGUCACUUGGUCCAUUACUGACGCUAAAGCACGAAAGCGUGGGUAGCAAACA